AUUGAACGCUAGCGGGAUGCCUUACACAUGCAAGUCGAACGGAGUGGCGAACGGGUGCGUAUUGUAUCGGUCCGUGCCCAUUAGCGGGGGAUAACUACGCGUAAGCGUAGCUAAUACCGCAUACUAUUGGCGCGGCCGAUAGCGGAUUAGCUGGUUGGUGGGGUAAAGGCUCACCAUGGCGACGAUCCCUAGCUGGUUUGAGAGGACGACCAGCCACACUGGGACUGAAACACGGCCCAGACUCCUACGGGAGGCAGCAGUGGGGAAUUUUGGACAAUGGGGGAAACCCUGAUGCAGCCAUGCCGCGUGUGCGAGGAAGGCCUUCGGGUUGUAAAGCACUUUUGGCAGGAAAGCGGUACCUGCAGAAUAAGCACCGGCUAACUACGUGCCAGCAGCCGCGGUAAUUC
rnacentral:rRNA from 1 species